GUGCCCUUUUUUUGGUAUAACUGGCUCCAACCGGGUAACUGUGCCUUUGACAUCAAAGAGUGCUAAGCUAGUUUAUUACUUGGUGUAUUUUUCUACUUGAUUUUAUUAUGAGAUUUUGAAAACUAGGGGUGUGCAGUCAGUCAGUUCUGUUCCAAACUGAACCUAAAUAACCAAAAAAAUUGAAUAAUAAAUAAUAAUAAAUGAACUGAAAUAUGGGUUGAACAAAACCAAACUGAAAUUUUUUGCUUGCUUCGGUUAGGUUUAUUGGUUUGGGUCUAUUUUAUUGGGCCUUUUGAAUUUUUAUUUUUUGGGCUUACUAUAAAUUCCAUAAAUUACACAUUACAUAAAAGCCCAUAAAAAUUAAAAAAAGGUCAUAAAUCAGAAAAUAGGUUGGCUCGGUUUUUAUUUUCUUUUUUAAUAUGAAAAUAACCAAACUAAACCGAAAACUGAACUUUUUAAAAAAUAAUAACUGAAACACAAAAUUAAAAUGGUUCGGUUCGGUUUUUCUGUUAUAAUCGAUUUUUUCUCUACCCUAUUGAAAACAAUUACUGGACAAAAAAGCUGAACAGAAAAAUCAAAGUUACAUCACUUCUCAUUUAAUGCUUUAUCUGCAGAGUAUGAUGAAGUGCAAAUCUUAUCAAUAAGAAAGGUAAAGAGAAAAUGAAGGCAGACAGCAAAAGGGAAAAAAAAAAAGGGUAAAGAAAAUCUAAACUGAAAUAAAAAUUGCUGAACAAACUGUAUCAGUCACAAGUUCCGAGCAAUUCAAGAUGGUCUCCUUUUAAUGUCAUUCUUCCAUUUGUUCCAAAAAUUGAUGACAAAAGAGUUCUGUGGGAAAGUGAAAUGUAGGCCUCUAAACUAUUCUCAGUUUUAGAUUUUCACAUAUUACAGGUGGUUGUCUGCAUCUUUUCUCUUUUUAUGCUUUAUGGUUUCUGGUCAUAUAAUUCAUGCAACUUCAAAGAUUGUUUAGUUGCUGUUGCAUAAUGAUAUUGGUCAAGAUAACAGUGUUAUGAGAAUAUCUUAUUCAUAUUGGGGUGUUUCCAGGUGGAUAAGGGAAUAAGUCCAGAAAUUGUUGUGUCCCUGCAGAGCAUGCAUCCUUACCUUGUCUAGCACCAAAAACAGCAUAUAAAAUGGAAGCCUUGUCAAGAGGCGAUAUUUUCCAAAAGUAGUUGAAGCUUAUUCUCAUCCUAGGAGAAUUGUCCAUGGAAAGGAUGUGGACUUUGGUGUGGAGAUGAGGCUGUAUUUGAGAUAGCUGAAGAGAGAGCUUUAUAGAGCAUCUUCUUGUACGCAAAAGGCAAAAUUUAUCCUGGCAUUGAGGUAGAUGAGUUUGUUGAAAUAUCUUCAGAACUUCUACAGCCACUCGAGGAUUUCUUCAAUAAUGUCGUUGUCAUGGUGGUGUGUCUUUUGCAGAACUAACUUUCCCAUUAAAAAAAAAAAAAAAAAAAGAAACUAUAUCUGUUACUGGAGAUUACAAUUCGGAACAUAAUGAGGUUCUGGUGAUCGUCUAUUCUAUGGCCUGACCUGAUGUUAACUGCAUAGUCGUAUCAUGCAUGGAUCCAUAUUUGGACACAUAAUCGUUUUUCAUUUGUGCAUUAUUAGCCACUCAAAAGAAUUUUAGACCAACUUUUUUAACUAUUCAUUUGUGUAAACCAUGAUCGGUGAAAAUCCAUUAUUUGAGCCUUUA